rnacentral:rRNA from 1 species
GCCAACGUCCAUACCACUUUGAAAACACCGGUUCUCGUCCGAUCACCGAAGUUAAGCAACGUCGGGCGCGGUCAGUACUUGGAUGGGUGACCGCCUGGGAACACCGCGUGACGUUGGCU